ensembl:lncRNA HISLA HIF1A stabilizing long noncoding RNA
GAUAAGCUGCUGGGGGUAAGGGGUGAGUCCUCUCAGGGGCAUGCUUAGGAAACAAAGUAGUUCCCAAAAUCUAUGCAUAUGACAGAGAAGAAUUAGAUGGCCUUUGAGAGACCCAGAAGAAAAUGCAAAAAGGAAUAGGGAAAAAAAGGGCAAAGCAACCUGCUGUGAGCCUCCUAAUCUUCCAUGGCCUGAAUUCCCAGCGCUUGAGAACAAGCCCUGUGAAAAACAAGCUGCUGUCCCUGCUAGAGGCAUCCUGCAAUCCAUGGAUGUUUAUCACCAAGCCAUUGUUAACAUGAGAGCUCAGAUGGAAAAGAAUGGUGUUACUGAGACCCUUCAAGAUUCCCAGUGUAAUUCAAUAAAGAAAAGGCAACACAAAGGGGUUGUAUAGAAUUCGCCACAUUAUGGACCCAUGUCAUAGAGAGAAUCCACGGUGCAUUUGUUAGCUGCAUUUAAAUGACAACACUUUCAGAUCCAAGAUUUAUUUGAUGAUGCAUAUCAUAAAUUAUUACUCACCCCAUGUUCCCACCCUCGAGAGACCUCCAAACAAUCACCAUGCCACAGUGAACAUUCAGUAACAAAAAUUCAGCCAGGGUUUUCACCAGCAUGAAUGGCAGUGAUUCCAAUCAGGAAAACAGAAAGAGGAGAGUUCAGAGCCACCUAGAAUGGCUCUUGCAAGAUACGAAAUCAAGGCAGCAGCAACAGGGCUGAACAUUCCUCAUCCCUAACUCUCCCUUCACCAGUAGGAAACCCAGGAUAACUGCAAUCACCGCAGGCCCAUCUGGCCUGAAGUUCUACUACUAGUAGCCCUCCAUGGGACCUUCUUAAGGAAGCAUGUCAACUCAGGUAAGGGAUGUAAGGGGAUGGAUGACCCUUUGAGGCCAAAGUUGGAGCAAAAAACACCAGAUGUUCCUGUGCACUGCUCCUAAGAGAUGGUUCUGAAGACCAGUUCGGGGAGAGGUCAAAAUACUGGACAGAAUCUCAGCAACAUGGAACCUCAAACUAAGUGACAGUCACAGACAACUCUUCCCCAAAGAAAAUAAGCACAGACAUGGUUUGUGGUAAGCAGAAUUAUAAAGAUGAAUUCCCAUCUCCCUGUCAGAUUACCAGUAUGGUAAAUUACCAGAUUACCUGGUUAUUUAUUCAAACACUAAUACAGUUAUUGCCUUGAUGGAAACAUACAGAUACAAUUAAAAUCCCAAGUACCAAAUAAAUUGACCUUAAGACAAAGACUAAGUAAAUCACAUGAGCCCUCUACAAGCAGAGAGUUUUUCUCCAGCUGGUAGCAGAAGCCAGAGAUUUGAAGCAUAGGAAGUAUUCAACACAUUAUUGCUGGCCUGAAAAUGGAAGGGGCCACAUAACGAGGGAAACCGGUGGCCUCUAGAAGCAGGGAGCAGUCCCCUGCUGACAGACAGCAAGCCAAGACCUCAGUUCUACAAUUGCAAGACACUCAAUUCUGCUAAGGACAAAAAUGAGCUUGGAAGUGAACUCUGAGCUUCAGGUGAGAACACGGCCAAACAACACCUUGAUUUCAGCUUAAACAAAGAAUGCAGCCACUCCAUGCCAGAAUUCUGACCUGUAGAAAUUUGAGCUAAUAA